rnacentral:rRNA from 1 species
AACACGUGAGUAACCUGCCCUUGACUCUGGGAUAAGCCUGGGAAACUGGGUCUAAUACCGGAUAUGACUCCUCAUCGCAUGGUGGGGGGUGGAAAGCUUUAUUGUGGUUUUGGAUGGACUCGCGGCCUAUCAGCUUGUUGGUGAGGUAAUGGCUUACCAAGGCGACGACGGGUAGCCGGCCUGAGAGGGUGACCGGCCACACUGGGACUGAGACACGGCCCAGACUCCUACGGGAGGCAGCAGUGGGGAAUAUUGCACAAUGGGCGAAAGCCUGAUGCAGCGACGCCGCGUGAGGGAUGACGGCCUUCGGGUUGUAAACCUCUUUCAGUAGGGAAGAAGCGAAAGUGACGGUACCUGCAGAAGAAGCGCCGGCUAACUACGUGCCAGCAGCCGCGGUAAUACGUAGGGCGCAAGCGUUAUCCGGAAUUAUUGGGCGUAAAGAGCUCGUAGGCGGUUUGUCGCGUCUGCCGUGAAAGUCCGGGGCUCAACUCCGGAUCUGCGGUGGGUACGGGCAGACUAGAGUGAUGUAGGGGAGACUGGAAUUCCUGGUGUAGCGGUGAAAUGCGCAGAUAUCAGGAGGAACACCGAUGGCGAAGGCAGGUCUCUGGGCAUUAACUGACGCUGAGGAGCGAAAGCAUGGGGAGCGAACAGGAUUAGAUACCCUGGUAGUCCAUGCCGUAAACGUUGGGCACUAGGUGUGGGGGACAUUCCACGUUUUCCGCGCCGUAGCUAACGCAUUAAGUGCCCCGCCUGGGGAGUACGGCCGCAAGGCUAAAACUCAAAGGAAUUGACGGGGGCCCGCACAAGCGGCGGAGCAUGCGGAUUAAUUCGAUGCAACGCGAAGAACCUUACCAAGGCUUGACAUGAACCGGUAACGUCUGGAAACAGGCGCCCCACUUGUGGUCGGUUUACAGGUGGUGCAUGGUUGUCGUCAGCUCGUGUCGUGAGAUGUUGGGUUAAGUCCCGCAACGAGCGCAACCCUCGUUCCAUGUUGCCAGCGCGUAAUGGCGGGGACUCAUGGGAGACUGCCGGGGUCAACUCGGAGGAAGGUGGGGACGACGUCAAAUCAUCAUGCCCCUUAUGUCUUGGGCUUCACGCAUGCUACAAUGGCCGGUACAAAGGGUUGCGAUACUGUGAGGUGGAGCUAAUCCCAAAAAGCCGGUCUCAGUUCGGAUUGGGGUCUGCAACUCGACCCCAUGAAGUCGGAGUCGCUAGUAAUCGCAGAUCAGCAACGCUGCGGUGAAUACGUUCCCGGGCCUUGUACACACCGCCCGUCAAGUCACGAAAGUU